rnacentral:rRNA from 1 species
UUUAUGGAGAGUUUGAUCCUGGCUCAGGAUGAACGCUGGCGGCGUGCCUAAUACAUGCAAGUCGAGCGAACAGAUAAGGAGCUUGCUCCUUUGACGUUAGCGGCGGACGGGUGAGUAACACGUGGGUAACCUACCUAUAAGACUGGAAUAACUCCGGGAAACCGGGGCUAAUGCCGGAUAACAUGUUGAACCGCAUGGUUCUACAGUGAAAGACGGUCUUGCUGUCACUUAUAGAUGGACCC